rnacentral:rRNA from 1 species
CCUACGGGAGGCAGCAGUGAGGAAUAUUGGUCAAUGGACGGAAGUCUGAACCAGCCAUGCCGCGUGCAGGAAGACGGCUCUAUGAGUUGUAAACUGCUUUUGUACAAGGGUAAACCUGAAUACGUGUAUUCAGCUGAAAGUACUGUACGAAUAAGGAUCGGCUAACUCCGUGCCAGCAGCCGCGGUAAUACGGAGGAUCCAAGCGUUAUCCGGAUUUAUUGGGUUGAAAGGGUGCGUAGGCGGAUUGAUAAGUUAGAGGUGAAAUGUCCGAGCUUAACUCGGGAACUGCCUCUAAUACUGUUGAUCUAGAGAGUAGAUGCGGUAGGCGGAAUGUAUGGUGUAGCGGGGAAAUGCUUAGAGAUCAUACAGAACACCGAUUGCGAAGGCAGCUUACCAAUCUAUAUCUGACGUUGAGGCACGAAAGCGUGGGGAGCAAACAGGAUUAGAUACCCCAGUAGUC